rnacentral:rRNA from 1 species
UACGUAGGGUGCGAGCGUUGUCCGGAAUUACUGGGCGUAAAGAGCUCGUAGGUGGUUUGUCGCGUUGUUCGUGAAAACUCACAGCUUAACUGUGGGCGUGCGGGCGAUACGGGCAGACUGGAGUACUGCAGGGGAGACUGGAAUUCCUGGUGUAGCGGUGGAAUGCGCAGAUAUCAGGAGGAACACCGGUGGCGAAGGCGGGUCUCUGGGACGGUACUGACGCUGAGACGCGAAAGCGUGGGGAGCGAACAGGAUUAAGAAACCCUAGGUAG